CUGGCUCAGGAUGAACGCUGGCGACGUGCUUAACACAUGCAAGUCGAACGAAGCACCUCUAAUCGAAGAUUGAGAAAGCUUGCUUUGAUUGAUUCACCUUGAGGUGACUGAGUGGCGGACGGGUGAGUAACGCGUGGGUAACCUACCCUAUACAGGGGGAUAACAGUUGGAAACGACUGCUAAUACCGCAUAAGCGCACAGGACCGCAUGGUCUAGUGUGAAAAAACUCCGGUGGUAUAGGAUGGACCCGCGUCUGAUUAGCUAGUUGGUGAGGUAACGGCUCACCAAGGCGACGAUCAGUAGCCGACCUGAGAGGGUGACCGGCCACAUUGGGACUGAGACACGGCCCAAACUCCUACGGGAGGCAGCAGUGGGGAAUAUUGCACAAUGGGCGAAAGCCUGAUGCAGCGACGCCGCGUGAACGAAGAAGUAUUUCGGUAUGUAAAGUUCUAUCAGCAGGGAAGAAAAAUGACGGUACCUGACUAAGAAGCUCCGGCUAAAUACGUGCCAGCCGCCGC
rnacentral:rRNA from 1 species